rnacentral:sRNA from 1 species
GCUGGGUGUGGUGGCUCAUGCCUGUAAUCCCCGCGGCUCGGGAGGCUGAGGCUGGAGGAUCUUGAGUUCAAAGCCAGCCUCAG